rnacentral:ncRNA from 2 species
UACGCGAACUACGGGAGCCUCCGACGCCGAGGCUGAGAGGACCGGACGCCACCGGUCGACCGUCGACACCUGAUGCGGAUCAUGCCGCCGGAGGAAAGAACGCACAUGCGCGA